rnacentral:rRNA from 1 species
UACGUAGGGGGCAAGCGUUGUCCGGAUUUAUUGGGCGUAAAGAGCGUGUAGGCGGCUGGGUAGGUCCGUUGUGAAAACUCGAGGCUCAACCUCGAGACGCCGAUGGAAACCAUCCAGCUAGAGUCCGGAAGAGGAGAGUGGAAUUCCUGGUGUAGCGGUGAAAUGCGCAGAUAUCAGGAAGAACACCCGUGGCUAAGGCGGCUCUCUAGUACGUACUGACGCUGAGACGCGAAAGCGUGGGGAGCGAACAGG